rnacentral:rRNA from 1 species
AAAUUGAAGAGUUUGAUCAUGGCUCAGAUUGAACGCUGGCGGCAGGCCUAACACAUGCAAGUCGAACGGUAACAGGAAACAGCUUGCUGUUUCGCUGACGAGUGGCGGACGGGUGAGUAAUGUCUGGGAAACUGCCUGAUGGAGGGGGAUAACUACUGGAAACGGUAGCUAAUACCGCAUAACGUCGCAAGACCAAAGAGGGGGACCUUCGGGCCUCUUGCCAUCGGAUGUGCCCAGAUGGGAUUAGCUAGUAGGUGGGGUAACGGCUCACCUAGGCGACGAUCCCUAGCUGGUCUGAGAGGAUGACCAGCCACACUGGAACUGAGACACGGUCCAGACUCCUACGGGAGGCAGCAGUGGGGAAUAUUGCACAAUGGGCGCAAGCCUGAUGCAGCCAUGCCGCGUGUAUGAAGAAGGCCUUCGGGUUGUAAAGUACUUUCAGCGGGGAGGAAGGGAGUAAAGUUAAUACCUUUGCUCAUUGACGUUACCCGCAGAAGAAGCACCGGCUAACUCCGUGCCAGCAGCCGCGGUAAUACGGAGGGUGCAAGCGUUAAUCGGAAUUACUGGGCGUAAAGCGCACGCAGGCGGUUUGUUAAGUCAGAUGUGAAAUCCCCGGGCUCAACCUGGGAACUGCAUCUGAUACUGGCAAGCUUGAGUCUCGUAGAGGGGGGUAGAAUUCCAGGUGUAGCGGUGAAAUGCGUAGAGAUCUGGAGGAAUACCGGUGGCGAAGGCGGCCCCCUGGACGAAGACUGACGCUCAGGUGCGAAAGCGUGGGGAGCAAACAGGAUUAGAUACCCUGGUAGUCCACGCCGUAAACGAUGUCGACUUGGAGGUUGUGCCCUUGAGGCGUGGCUUCCGGAGCUAACGCGUUAAGUCGACCGCCUGGGGAGUACGGCCGCAAGGUUAAAACUCAAAUGAAUUGACGGGGGCCCGCACAAGCGGUGGAGCAUGUGGUUUAAUUCGAUGCAACGCGAAGAACCUUACCUGGUCUUGACAUCCACAGAACUUUCCAGAGAUGGAUUGGUGCCUUCGGGAACUGUGAGACAGGUGCUGCAUGGCUGUCGUCAGCUCGUGUUGUGAAAUGUUGGGUUAAGUCCCGCAACGAGCGCAACCCUUAUCCUUUGUUGCCAGCGGUCCGGCCGGGAACUCAAAGGAGACUGCCAGUGAUAAACUGGAGGAAGGUGGGGAUGACGUCAAGUCAUCAUGGCCCUUACGACCAGGGCUACACACGUGCUACAAUGGCGCAUACAAAGAGAAGCGACCUCGCGAGAGCAAGCGGACCUCAUAAAGUGCGUCGUAGUCCGGAUUGGAGUCUGCAACUCGACUCCAUGAAGUCGGAAUCGCUAGUAAUCGUGGAUCAGAAUGCCACGGUGAAUACGUUCCCGGGCCUUGUACACACCGCCCGUCACACCAUGGGAGUGGGUUGCAAAAGAAGUAGGUAGCUUAACCUUCGGGAGGGCGCUUACCACUUUGUGAUUCAUGACUGGGGUGAAGUCGUAACAAGGUAACCGUAGGGGAACCUGCGGUUGGAUCACCUCCUUACCUUAAAGAA